AUUGAACGCUGGCGGCAUGCCUUACACAUGCAAGUCGAACGGCAGCGGACCUUCGGGUGCCGGCGAGUGGCGAACGGGUGAGUAAUAUAUCGGAACGUACCUUUCAGUGGGGGAGUAACGUAGCGAAAGUUACGCUAAUACCGCAUAUUCUGUGAGCAGGAAAGACAGGGGAGUCGCAAGACCUUGCGCUGAUUGAGCGGCCGAUAUCAGAUUAGCUAGUUGGUGAGGUAAAGGACUCACCAAGGCGACGAUCUGUAGCGGGUCUGAGAGGAUGAUCCGCCACACUGGAACUGAGACACGGUCCAGACUCCUAC
rnacentral:rRNA from 1 species